UACGGGGGGGGCAAGCGUUGUUCGGAAUUACUGGGCGUAAAGGGCUCGUAGGCGGCCAACUAAGUCGGACGUGAAAUCCCCAGGCUCAACCUGGGAACUGCGUCCGAUACUGGAUGGCUUGAAUUCGGGAGAGGGAUGCAGAAUUCCAGGUGUAGCGGUGAAAUGCGUAGAUAUCUGGAGGAACACCGGUGGCGAAGGCGGCGUCCUGGACCGAGAUUGACGCUGAUGAGCGAAAGCUAGGGGAGCAAACGGG
rnacentral:rRNA from 1 species